rnacentral:rRNA from 1 species
AUUGAACGCUGGCGGCGUGCCUAACACAUGCAAGUCGAGCGGUAACAGGUGUAGCAAUACAUGCUGACGAGCGGCGGACGGGUGAGUAACGCUUGGGAAUCUGCCUAUUAGUGGGGGACAACCCGGGGAAACUCGGGCUAAUACCGCAUACGCACUACGGUGGAAAGCCGGGGACCGCAAGGCCUGGCGCUAACAGAUGAGCCCAAGUCGGAUUAGCUAGUUGGUAGGGUAACGGCCACCAAGGCGACGAUCCGUAACUGGUCUGAGAGGACGACCAGUCACACCGGAACUGAGACACGGUCCGGACUCCUACGGGAGGCAGCAGUGGGGAAUAUUGGACAAUGGGCGAAAGCCUGAUCCAGCGACGCCGCGUGGGUGAAGAAGGCCUGCGGGUUGUAAAGCCCUUUCAGU